AAUAGAUACCCGGGUAGUCCACGCCGUAAACGAUGAGUGCUAAGUGUUAGAGGGUUUCCGCCCUUUAGUGCUGCAGCAAACGCAUUAAGCACUCCGCCUGGGGAGUACGGUCGCAAGACUGAAACUCAAAGGAAUUGACGGGGGCCCGCACAAGCGGUGGAGCAUGUGGUUUAAUUCGAAGCAACGCGAAGAACCUUACCAGGUCUUGACAUCCUUAUGACUUCUCUAGAGAUAGAGCUUUCCCUUCGGGGACAUAAGUGACAGGUGGUGCAUGGUUGUCGUCAGCUCGUGUCGUGAGAUGUUGGGUUAAGUCCCGCAACGAGCGCAACCCUUGAUCUUAGUUGCCAGCAUUCAGUUGGGCACUCUAAGGUGACUGCCGGUGACAAACCGGAGGAAGGUGGGGAUGACGUCAAGUCAGCAUGGCCCUUACGUCCUGGGGCUACACCCACGCUACAAUGGCCGGUACAACGGGCUGCGAAACCGCGAGGUGGAGCCAAUCCCGUUAAAGCCGGUCUCAGUUCGGAUCGCAGG
rnacentral:rRNA from 1 species